rnacentral:rRNA from 1 species
GUCGAACGAUGAUCUCCAGCUUGCUGGGGUGAUUAGUGGCGAACGGGUGAGUAACACGUGAGUAACCUGCCCUUGACUCUGGGAUAACGCUGGGAAACUGGUGCUAAUACUGGAUAUGACUUCACAUCGCAUGGUGUGGGGUGGAAAGUUUUUCGGGUCA